UCGGACGUGAAUCGCGUGGGACUGCGGAGGGACAUUACACAAAUAUGAAGGCGGGCUGGAACCUCUCGGGGUUACAGCCUUGCUGAAUUAUUCACCCUUGUCUUUUGCGUACUUCUUGUUUCCUUGGUGGGUUCGCCCACCACUAGGACAAACAUAAACCUUUUGUAAUUGCAAUCAGCGUCAGUAACAAAUUAAUAAUUACAACUUUCAACAACGGAUCUCUUGGUUCUGGCAUCGAUGAAGAACGCAGCGAAAUGCGAUAAGUAGUGUGAAUUGCAGAAUUCAGUGAAUCAUCGAAUCUUUGAACGCACAUUGCGCCCUUUGGUAUUCCAAAGGGCAUGCCUGUUCGAGCGUCAUUUGUACCCUCAAGCUUUGCUUGGUGUUGGGCGUCUUGUCUCUAGCUUUGCUGGAGACUCGCCUUAAAGUAAUUGGCAGCCGGCCUACUGGUUUCGGAGCGCAGCACAAGUCGCACUCUCUAUCAGCAAAGGUCUAGCAUCCAUUAAGCCUUUUUUUCAACUUUUGACCUCGGAUCAGGUAGGGAUACCCGCUGAACUUAAGCAUAUCAAUAAGCGGAGGAAAAGAAACCAACAGGGAUUGCCCUAGUAACGGCGAGUGAAGCGGCAACAGCUCAAAUUUGAAAUCUGGCUCUUUUAGAGUCCGAGUUGUAAUUUGCAGAGGGCGCUUUGGCUUUGGCAGCGGUCCAAGUUCCUUGGAACAGGACGUCACAGAGGGUGAGAAUCCCGUACGUGGUCGCUGGCUAUUGCCGUGUAAAGCCCCUUCGACGAGUCGAGUUGUUUGGGAAUGCAGCUCUAAAUGGGAGGUACAUUUCUUCUAAAGCUAAAUAUUGGCCAGAGACCGAUAGCGCACAAGUAGAGUGAUCGAAAGAUGAAAAGCACUUUGGAAAGAGAGUCAAACAGCACGUGAAAUUGUUGAAAGGGAAGCGCUUGCAGCCAGACUUGCUUACAGUUGCUCAUCCGGGUUUCUACCCGGUGCACUCUUCUGUAGGCAGGCCAGCAUCAGUUUGGGCGGUAGGAUAAAGGUCUCUGUCACGUACCUCCUUUCGGGGAGGCCUUAUAGGGGAGACGACAUACUACCAGCCUGGACUGAGGUCCGCGCAUCUGCUAGGAUGCUGGCGUAAUGGCUGUAAGCGGCCCGUCUUGAAACACGGAC
rnacentral:rRNA from 1 species